CCUACGGGAGGCUGCAGUGGGGAAUAUUGCACAAUGGGCGCAAGCCUGAUGCAGCCAUGCCGCGUGUGUGAAGAAGGCCUUCGGGUUGUAAAGCACUUUCAGCGGGGAGGAAGGCGUUAAGGUUAAUAACCUUGUCGAUUGACGUUACCCGCAGAAGAAGCACCGGCUAACUCCGUGCCAGCAGCCGCGGUAAUACGGAGGGUGCAAGCGUUAAUCGGAAUUACUGGGCGUAAAGCGCACGCAGGCGGUCUGUCAAGUCGGAUGUGAAAUCCCCGGGCUCAACCUGGGAACUGCAUUCGAAACUGGCAGGCUAGAGCCUUGUAGAGGGGGGUAGAAUUCCAGGUGUAGCGGUGAAAUGCGUAGAGAUCUGGAGGAAUACCGGUGGCGAAGGCGGCCCCCUGGACAAAGACUGACGCUCAGGUGCGAAAGCGUGGGGAGCAAACAGGAUUAGAUACCCGAGUAGUC
rnacentral:rRNA from 1 species